UUUUUCCAGUGUUUAUUCAAUCCCUGGAAGAAAGAAGAGAUUGUUAAGAUAGACACCUUAGCCUCAUUGAUUUUGACAAUUACCUUAGUAAGGUCAUAAGAUAAUCAAUAUCCCAAGCACCUUUAAUAUACUGAGAAAAAUUGGAGAAGUGUAAGGUUACAUUUUCAGAUACAGCAUAUUGGAUGACAUGAAUACUAUGAAAUUCAGGGUCAUAAGUGAGCCUUUACAACAUAAACAGAAUAUCUAGUUAUUCCUGUGGAGGUCUAGUGCUUGCCGAAUGACUAAAAUAGUGGCUCAGGACAUGUCAUUUUGAAUGGCAAAGGCUUCUGCCGUGGCAGUAGACACAUUGCCCACAGUCUGAGCCAGCUGGAUAUUCUGGGUGAGCGAAGCAGCAGCCACCAGGGCAAUAAUCCCAGUGACGAUGAGGCUAAUUGCACGCCUUGUCUGGUGUAGAAUCUCAGAAGAUUCUUCAUCUCCAUGUCCCAUGGACUCCUCCCCUCUCUGGACAGGGUCACUGGAAGCCAGACUGCUGGGGGCACUCUGAGGAUAAAUACACGUUUAGCGGUCAUAGCAGGGGUUAGGCAAUUUGUGAGCCAGCAGGAUGUAUUGUCAGCACAAGGGAUCUCUGUUGGAGUGAUAUUUAUGCCCUCAGUAUCACUGAUAAUUAGCAUGGCAAAGGGUGGCAUAACACACACACACCUGUGCAUAGAGGGUAUGGGUAUAAUUUGGCAUAAAGGCAAAUGGUAAGGGUCUGGACUCAAUGUCAACCUAUUCAUCCAGCAGGUUGAUGCCCAUGGAUGGCUCUAACAGCCAACAAUAUUCCGGCAUAAUAUCUAUUAUGCCAUACUGUUUCCUGCAUAACCGUUGGUAAUGGCUCGUCCUGUGCAGCAGGUACUGCAGUGGCCAAUAUGGUUUUGGGGCACAUCAGUUACAUUCCAGGGAGCUGUGCCCACCCAGGAGCAUAGACGUUGUCCUUCCCCAGAGAAAUUCCUCUCAUCGAGGAGAUAAGCGACCAAUCAAGGAGCGGGCCGUGGAGCAAGCACAGGGACUCCAACACAUGACCUCACGCCCAGGACUGUGUCUACAGGGUAAGCAAUUUGCCACAUACGCACGCGCCUAGCAUGAGGGGAGUGGUUUGCCACUCAGAUGCCUUUAUCGCAUACCAUGUAUGCAGUACUCCAUACUUGUCCCCACAGAUUAAAAUACUUUUUUUUUCUGAUCAUGACAAUACUGUUGAACUCACACAUAAUCCUUUCAUAAAAUAAAACACUCUUAGGUGCUGCCAUUCUAUUGAGCUUCCCACCUCUGUUUCUAUGGGAACAAACCAGGAAACAGGAAAACACUGUAUUUGUAGAAUACACAUGAGAUAAAUAAACCUUUUCUAAGUUAGCUACCUCUAAUAUUUUGUUGUAGUAACAUGAAUUGAACAAUAUAGAAAACUGGUGUCAGAAGUGAGAUUGAUCAUCACGAUAGCUAUACCUGAAGAUGUGUGUGGGGGGGAGCCUUUUAAUUGUUCAACAGAAAAAGGAUGGAAAAUUUGGAGGAGUAAAUUAUAGAAAGCCUACAAUGCUGUAAGCACUGUGGGUGAUUCUAGUGAGGGCUCAGAAGACCAAAAUGCUGAUAGGAAUGUGGACAGUAAAAGCCUUGUUGAUGAGGUCUCUCAUGGAAACGAGGAUCCCAUUGGGAAUUGGAGAAAAGGCCACCCUUUUGUCACACCAUGGCAAAUAAUUUGAAUAUAUUACUUUGUGAUGACUUUAAAUGUGGUAGGCUAAUUUAUUUGGUACAGAAGAUUUCAAAAUAGCAAAGCAUUUAUACCAUGGAUGUUAUUGGCUGCUUUUAGCCAAAUUUACAUUGAGAAUCAAGAGCAAAAAGGAGCAACGAAGACUUGAAAAAUGUGUAGCCUGGCCAGGAAAGGAGCACAAAAGAGUGUAAGGGUGUGGCCAUGGAUGGGUGUUUCUAAAGAGAUUGGCACCAGUACAAAGAAGCUGAAUCCGGGAAAAUAGGAACCACACUUCCCAGUCAUCUCAGCAAUCAGCAAGGCCACCACUGUCCUCGCAGGCACAGAGGAAUAUUAGUGUAAGUUUGUUUCGAAUACUUUCCAGGGAAGAACUGUUUCAGGAAAGAGUCCCAGGGAACUGAGAGCCCAGGACUGCUCAGAAUUCACUUCUCCACACUCAGUCAGCAAAGCCCUCCACAGCCACAGUUGUGCUCCCAGUGUUGCUCACUCUGAUGGAGUGCUUGGGGCCACCCACUGAUGCUGGGUCUGCAGGCAGGCAGAAUUGCAAGGGUUAUGGGCUCUCGGUGGCCCCUAUGGUAAUUUAGAGUCUGGGAGGCCAGGCAGAGCUGUGCUACAAGGCUGCAGUUCCUGCAGGGAGUCUCCCACAGAUGAUGCAUGGCACAGUUGAGGGAGUGAAGCCAAAGCUAAAGUGAGGCCCAAGGAAAACAGAGAUGUCAUUACAUGCAGCCCCUGCAGGGAAAGCCGCAGGAAGCAUGCAAAAUCAGCUGGAGGCGCAGCCAUGUGGGCUGCCACCGGUAGAGCCACAGAGGCAGGGAUGACCAAGCCCUCGGGAGCCCGCGUCCCACCACGGUGUGCCCAGAUGCCAGAUAUGGGGCCUUGGGGUUUGCUGUUUUCCCCGCUGGCUUCAUCCUUGCUUUGGGCUGAUUCCCCCUUUUCCUUUCUGCAUGCCUCCCUUUAGGAAUAGAAAUGCACACCCUGCGACUCUCCUGCCAUUGUACCUUCUACAUAUGUAACCUGCUUUUUUGUUUUAAAAAGGACUCACCACUGAAUUUGCCUUGAGUCUCAGACGAGACUUUGGACUUGUUUCUGAGCAUUGCUGGAACACUGACUUGGGGAUGGAAUUAACUCUUGGGGUUCUGCACUGUGAGAUGGAUACGAAACUCUGGGGGUUCCUGCCACGAUGUGCCACCUCCUGCCGUCCUCAUCAGAACAGAGGUUGAUGCGCCACUGGAACAGUUCAAAGGCACCAGGUCUUUUAACCUCUAAACUGUGAGCUAAAUAAACCUUUUUCCUUUAUAAGUUAGUUGCCUCAGGUUAUUUUGUUGUAGUAAUGCAAAGUGAGUACAGAAUGUUGGAAAAUACUAGCUAUAUUUGGUGUAUCUGCAAUAUUUGUAUGUGCUAAAAUACAGGUUAAUGCUGUUAAUCAGCAUUACUGUAAAAAACUAACUGAAAUAAAUCAACUUAUAAAGAGGAAAGGUUUAUUUUGGCUCACGGUUUCAGAGGUUUCAGUCCAUGGUCACUUGGACAUGCUGCUUUUGGUCUGGGUAAGGCAGCACAUCAUGGUGGAAGCACAUUGGGAAAGAAGUUGCUUACCUUACGGUGGCCAGGAAGCAAAGAAAGAGAGGAAGGGGCAGGUGUCAAUGUCCCCUUCAAGGGCUCACCCAGCAACCUAACUUCCUCCCAGUAGGCCCCACCUCUUAAAAGUUUCACCACCCCCCAAUAUGCCACAGGCUGGGGACCAGCCUCCAACAUGUGACUUUUGGGGGACAUUCAGGCUCCAAACUAUAGGAGGAACGAUGGUUAUUUCGGGGCAAUGUGAUU